rnacentral:lncRNA from 1 species
AAGUACUUUUGAUUGAUAAUAAGAAGGAUAUGUGUUUAUUGAUUGUUUUAUACUACUAUUAUUUAGGUGAUGCAAAUCAAUAUCUUGCUUUGUCUAUGCUAUGAAGUGGCCUAAGCGCUAGACCACAGGGAACCAGGAACGGUUACUUUCCUGGUGACCUUAUUAUUCGGUAUGGUGCUUGCAAAUUGAUCUUUUGUUGUGUUUAUUCACUGAAGCUUGUACUGUCAAACAGAGUUGCUAUUGUAUUGAUGCCUUGGAAUGUUGUUAAAUCAAGUAAUGCAGCUGAAUUUGUCUACUACAUGUUAAUCUUGCUCUUUGAUACUUGCUCACAAAUUGUUUACUUGAUGCUUGAUGGCAACUGCUAUUCUUACAAGACUAUCAAUCUGAGAUAUUAUCAUAACUCAGAAAAAUGAGAUGUGCACAUAUGUUUGUAUUUUGAUUUACUAAUGGUUUCCUUCAUGUGAAUGUUUUAUUGCAUUAUCCGAUUUCUAAUCUGCAGUAAAUGUGACACAAGUUUAUCAUUUCUCAUUGUAUGGAGUGAACCGAGGCAGCAACUAGCUGGACGUGGAAGUGUUGUUCCUGAAGGUACUGAAAUUGGAGCGGACUUCUCAGGCUCAAUUAUCAUUUUUGUACCAAGUAGUUGCAUGCAUAACGAAGCUAGAUGUUUGAACUAUGAAUCUGUUUUGCAGGAGAAGCAUGAGGUUGUGCUUGAGAAGAUCUCCAGGCUGGAGGAGAUGGCUUCUCUAUUCAUUUAUUUUCUCCCUGAAGGUAAGUACAGUGUGCAAUGCACUCUAUCUUUUGGAGGAUAACAAAAAACCAACUUCGGUACUCUCUUAAGACAACCAUGUGUAUUAUACACGGAUGUCCGCUAAGUAUUUUGGGAAGGGAAUGAACAACUCUUUCAGAAUAACAAACAAGUGCUACAAUAUAAGGAAUAAGUACAUACAUCUUAUAUUUUUUCACCUUGAAGAGCACAUUACAUUUGUUACGAGUUGAAACAAUUUGUGUAGUUUAUAUUGAAAAGGCAUCAUGAAGGUGAUGUAGAUGUUUUUUUAAAUAAUCUGAUAUCUUUUGUUUUAAAUCACAUAGCACAAAGGUAUUCUGCUAGCUAUAUAAAAAUAGUAAUAUUAGAACUAGACGUAUAUUCUUUUUAGCUAUGCCCUCCGUCCCAAAAUAAGUGUCUCGACUUUGUACUAAAGUUGAGACACUUAUUUUGGGAUGGAGGAAGUGCAUUAUUAUAGUAGUUGUAAAUACUAAAUAGAAAACUUUCAAGUCUUCCAUUUUUUUCCAAACUGUUCAUCGUAUGAGACAUAACAAAAAGCAUUUGAUCCAUUGAUGUGCAAUACCAGACUCUAUACUAACUUAUAUUUUUGGUCAACAUAAUUAAACCUGUCAAUAAUCAAUCUACUCUGUAAAAACGAAGGCUUGCAACUAUUAUAUGACAACAAUGUUGUUUUUGGUACCUUCUCCUUCAGUUAUGUGCAAUUUGCGUUUGAUUCCAAUUUGCUGGUUUACAAAUCUUAUAUAUUUGUAUCUUUGUCAAAUGAAGUAUGAGCUGCUAUGUAACAUUAAAGAACUCUGUUUAUCCAGUCCUUUGUUGUGAUGUAUUUGCUAGCAUGGGAUGUCGGAUUCAGAGCAACAAGGCGACUAAAGGAUGGGGUUAUCGCAAGGAGGCACACACAUAGAUGAUCGGUGAGGUCGCUAGAGCUUAUGAGGUGGAGUGAGGAACAAGAGCGGAACGGAUUCUGUCGCCACGAUGUUGAAUGGGAUGUGCACCACUGUUUUUGUGCCUAUAUUAAAGUAUAUUUGUGUGAUGAGCAGCUAUAGCUUGUGUUCGCAAAUUUGUUCCUUUUUGGCUUUAACCAUUUUUUGUGAAGAGAAUAUUUUGUAAACCAGUGCAAACUUUACCUGAAUUACCAUCCAUUUGGCAAAAUGUUAAAGCAGAUUAGAUCAUCCCUCGCAAUAAGCAUUGGAGUGAAGUUUCAAC